GAGCAUGUGGUUUAAUUCGAAGCAACGCGAAGAACCUUACCAAGUCUUGACAUCCGCCUGACCGAUCCUUAACCGGAUCUUUCCUUCGGGACAGGCGAGACAGGUGGUGCAUGGUUGUCGUCAGCUCGUGUCGUGAGAUGUUGGGUUAAGUCCCGCAACGAGCGCAACCCCUAUCCUCAGUAGCCAGCAUUUAAGGUGGGCACUCUGGGGAGACUGCCAGGGAUAACCUGGAGGAAGGCGGGGAUGACGUCAAAUCAUCAUGCCCCUUAUGAUUUGGGCUACACACGUGCUACAAUGGCGUAAACAAAGGGAAGCGAGAUUGUGAGAUGGAGCAAAUCCCAAAAAUAACGUCCCAGUUCGGACUGUAGUCUGCAACCCGACUACACGAAGCUGGAAUCGCUAGUAAUCGCGGAUCAGAAUGCCGCGGUGAAUACGUUCCCGGGUCUUGUACACACCGCCCGUCACACCAUGGGAGUCAGUAACGCCCGAAGUCAGUGACCUAACUGCAAAGAAGGAGCUGCCGAAGGCGGGACCGAUGACUGGGGUGAAGUCGUAACAAGGUAGCCGUAUCGGAAGGUGCGGCUGGAUCACCUCCUUUCUAAGGAA
rnacentral:rRNA from 1 species